rnacentral:rRNA from 1 species
GAUGUACGCUAGCUACAGGCUUAACACAUGCAAGUCGAGGGGAAACGAUAUUGGAAGCUUGCUUCCGAUAGGCGUCGACCGGCGCACGGGUGAGUAACGCGUAUCCAACCUGCCCACCACUUGGGGAUAACCUUGCGAAAGUAAGACUAAUACCCAAUGAUAUCUCUAGAAGACAUCUGAAGGAGAUUAAAGAUUCAUCGGGGAUGGAUGGGGAUGCGUCUGAUUAGCUUGUUGGCGGGGUAACGGCCCACCAAGGCGACGAUCAGUAGGGGUUCUGAGAGGAAGGUCCCCCACAUUGGAACUGAGACACGGUCCAAACUCCUACGGGAGGCAGCAGUGAGGAAUAUUGGUCAAUGGGCGAGAGCCUGAACCAGCCAAGUAGCGCGCAGGAUGACGGCCCUAUGGGUUGUAAACUGCUUUUAUAAGGGAAUAAAGUGAGUCUCGUGAGACUUUUUGCAUGUACCUUAUGAAUAAGGACCGGCUAAUUCCGUGCCAGCCGCCGCGGUAA